rnacentral:rRNA from 1 species
AUGCGGCCCACGUGUGGCCUCACCCCCUCGGCCCCACAUGCUCCCUCUUCCUUAUCCCCAUAUGUUUUCUUUUCCUUAUCCCCUCAAGCACCACUCAUUUUUCUUGCUUAUCCCUCCAUGCCCACCAUUCAUCCCAUGCACCUCUCUCUCCCCCUGGCCUACCUUCAAUCAAUAGCUUGCCGGCGAUGGAAGACGUGUGUGGCGAGCUGGCAGUCCGGGGCUGCACACAUGAAGCCGCGGAGGUGCGUGAGCACGACUCUCGGCGAGCGAAGAGGCGCGACGCCAAAGCUACAUCGGCAACUUGGUAUUUCCACUUUGCAACCUGAUACGACGAGUGGAGGGUGGUUUGCUGCAACCAGUGGCCCCUACUACUACGACCAACGAGGUGGCUGUGCCGUGAAGAUGGACGACGGAUGCGGCGAUUUUUGUGCUGAAACCCACGAUAGCCUCUGCUACAACCGGCCAGCCAUUUUGCUGGAACCAGCAUCGAUCUUUUUGCUAGAUACUUCAGUGCAAACCGACGCCCACGGCGAGCCGAAACCAGAGCAUGGUGAUGAGCUGGAACCGGCGAGCUUGCUUUGCUGCAAUGAGCCGCAAGCUACUAUGAUCAGCAGGGCGAAGAGCUGGAACGGGCGUCCAUUUUUGCUGGGAUGGGCGCCCAAAUUUGCUGGAACAGGAGUCCCGGGUUGCUGCAUCGUUCGCCGCACAGGGGAGCUACGAUGUUGGCGAGCUGGAACCGGCGCCCAAUUUUGCUGGAGCCGGCAUCUCGACAUGCUGGAACCUGAUGGAAAAGCUUCAACCAUCGGGCGAGUUGUCGAUGGCGUGAGGGGUGACGCCGGGGUGCUGCGGCCGACAACACGGUCGCUACAACGAGAAGAUGCCAUGGCGAGCUUCGCCGCCGACGGCCGGCAGCGAAGGUACUCGUGCGGGACGGGCUGCUGCUCCGGAAAGCAACCUGUGGGUCAUGUAGUUAAUUGGGCCCAGAAGCAGCCCAAUUGGUUGUGUACGUCAGCCCAUGCUAGGUUUCCUUUCCACAUCGACAGAGAAAAGAAAAGAACAAUUCAUCCUUCUCCUCUUGUUCAUACCCACGGUGCAGGGUGUCUAAUUUCUCAUGUUCCUUUCGUGCUAGGAAGCUCGUGGGGAUUGACCAACUUAUUCCGGCACUGCCUUAUAUAUGGAUAUUCAUUGUUGAUAUGUGUUACAUGGUGUGAUCCCGAUCGACUCCAAUAUGGACACCCAGGCACCACACCCAGGCUCAUGCAAAUGCUCAAAACAGCCCGUUUUAGUCGAGUUAGGUGUGUUCAAGGAUUAGCUUUGGUUUUCCCAUUUUACUCGCUAAGAAAGGGCCAAGUAUAUUAUCAAACCAUUGUUGGUAAGAGGAUAAUUUACUAUGAUUCAGUUGGCAAAGAGGCUCUGAUCUGCAGUUUAAAUGACGAAGAAAUACUGGAACAUGGGGAAGAGAAGCAUGUUUCACAAAAGAAGAAGAUCCGCUAA